CGUGCGCGAGUCACAGGGUUACUCGCAAAGCUUUACGAAACCCUAAGGCGCAAUGAAAGUGAAGGUCAGGCUUCGCACUGACCGAGGCAGGAUCCGUCCGGGUGAGCGAAGCUCUUCUUCCUUUUGCGGGUGCAAACCCGCGGGGGAGCUCGGCGGCGCACUGCCGGCCCAUCUCAGCCGCUUCUCGUCGGCGAGGUGGAGCCAGAGCGCACACGUUGGGACCCGAAAGAUGGUGAACUAUGCUCGGGCAGGACGAAGCCAGAGGAAACUCUGGUGGAGGUCCGUAGCGAUUCUGACGUGCAAAUCGAUCGUCGGACCCGAGUAUAGGGGCGAAAGACUAAUCGAACCGUCUAGUA
rnacentral:rRNA from 1 species